rnacentral:misc_RNA from 1 species
GAUGAAGAACGUAGCGAAAUGCGAUAAGUAAUGUGAAUUGCAGAAUUCAGUGAAUCAUCGAAUCUUUGAACGCACAUUGCGCCCCUUGGUAUUCCGAGGGGCAUGCCUAUUCGAGGGUCAUUAUCACCCCUCAAGCCUAGCUUGGUGUUGAGGCCUGCUGUCAAGGCAGCCUCUAAAAUCAGUGGCAGUGCUGUCAGGCUCUAAGCGUAGUAAAUCUAAUCGCUAUAGACACCUGGUGGACACUCGCCAGAACCCCCCCAUUUUUUAAUGAUUGACCUCGGAUUAGGUAGGGAUACCCGCUGAACUUAAGCAUAUCAAUAAGCGGAGGA